rnacentral:lncRNA from 1 species
GCAAUCACUCCUUUCUUCAUUUUCCACCAAAGCUUCUUCAUCUUCCUCCUUUAAUCGAAUACACCUGCAUCAUCUUCUUCUUCAUGACAGCGUAUGAAUCACCAAACCUCAGCUUCUUCAUCUACCACUACCCCUGCAAAUAUUACACAAACAUACCAUACAAAGAAGAAAACAGUGGUAUGGAACCUCACCUCAGCUGACCUUUCUCUUCUUCACACCUAUUUCAGUCACCUUUCUCUUCCUUCUUCUCUUCCGCAC